GCGAGUGAAGCGGCAAAAGCUCAAAUUUGAAAUCUGGCACCUUCGGUGUCCGAGUUGUAAUUUGAAGAAGGUAACUUUGGAGUUGGCUCUUGUCUAUGUUCCUUGGAACAGGACGUCACAGAGGGUGAGAAUCCCGUGCGAUGAGAUGCCCAAUUCUAUGUAAAGUGCUUUCGAAGAGUCGAGUUGUUUGGGAAUGCAGCUCUAAGUGGGUGGUAAAUUCCAUCUAAAGCUAAAUAUUGGCGAGAGACCGAUAGCGAACAAGUACAGUGAUGGAAAGAUGAAAAGAACUUUGAAAAGAGAGUGAAAAAGUACGUGAAAUUGUUGAAAGGGAAGGGCUUGAGAUCAGACUUGGUAUUUUGCGAUCCUUUCCUUCUUGGUUGGGUUCCUCGCAGCUUACUGGGCCAGCAUCGGUUUGGAUGGUAGGAUAAUGACUAAGGAAUGUGGCUCUACUUCGGUGGAGUGUUAUAGCCUUGGUUGAUACUGCCUGUCUAGACCGAGGACUGCGUCUUUGA
rnacentral:rRNA from 1 species